UCCUCUCAUCUCCCACUUUUUUCCUCCCCCUCUCUCAACCAUUCUUGGAAGAAGAAGGAACUAAUUAACAUCUGUAGAAGAGCCAGUGUGCACGUCAAAAAAAGCAAUCACCUAUUUAGGAGUUAUCUUCCUGCUGAGGGAGGUUUUGAUCUGUGACGACAACGAGGAAAAGGAAUCUGG